AAUCUGUCGUCCUUUGGGCGUCCGAGUUGUAAUUUGGAGGAGCGUCUUCGGGGGUGGCACCGUUCUAAGUUCCGUGGAAUCGGACGUCACAGAGGGUGAGAAUCCCGUGCCUGGGCGGUUGCCCACUCCCCAUGUGAAGUGCUUCCGACGAGUCGAGUUGUUUGGGAAUGCAGCUCAAAAUGGGUGGUAAAUUUCAUCUAAAGCUAAAUACUGGCGAGAGACCGAUAGCGCACAAGUAGAGUGAUCGAAAGAUGAAAAGCACUUUGAAAAGAGAGUUAAAAAGUACGUGAAAUUGUUGAAAGGGAAGCGCUUGAGAUCAAACUCGAUCUUUGGUGAAGCUGCGAGCUCGCUCGAAGCCUCUUGCCAUUGACCGGGCCAGCAUCGGUUUUGACGGUGGGAUAAACGACGGGGAAAUGUAGCUCUCUUCGGGGAGUGUUAUAGACCCUGCCAUAAUACCGUCAGUCGAGACCGAGGACCGCGCUUCGGCUAGGAUGCU
rnacentral:rRNA from 1 species